rnacentral:lncRNA from 1 species
AUGGCUCCUCCUACUCCUCCCUCUUUUUUUUCUCGACACGUCUGCGCAUGCCCAGGGCCCGCGCGCAGACUACUGGGAAGCCUCCUCGUGCAUUCUGGGAAAUGUAUUCCAAAGCCUGACGCGCUCAGAGAGCCCGCGACACUUGCGCCGUCAAGGCCCAAUAGGCCGCAGACGACGCUUUCGUGCAUCUUGGGAAAUGUAGUUCCAGUGUUGGGGAAGACGCCAGGCGGUGACAAACAAGAGACAGGCUGUGGGAGGAGCUGCAGGACUGAGGCACAGAGGCCCAGGGCCCACGGAGGGGCCCAGCCUUGACUUGGCUCCCUGGGAUCCCAGGACUGCACGCCCUUUCCGCACCACCUGAGUGAGCACCGCCCCCUCACAGAGACCUUUUUGCCCCUGGGCCAGGCAGGGCAGGUGAGUGCUUUAUCUUACAGGGGAAACCGAGGCACAGAGGCCGGGCCUAUCCUGGGUACGUGGGCGACUCAGAAGCGCGGGUCCCAGGCUGGGUGCCAUGGCUCACGCCUGUAAUCCCAGCACUUUGGGAGGCCGAGGUGGGCGGAUCACCUGAGGUCAGGAGUUCGAGACCAGCCUGGCCAACAUGGCGAAACCCCAUCUCUACUAAAGAUACAAAAAUUAGCCAGGCGUGGUGGCGGGUGCCUGUAAUUCCAGCUACUUGGGAGGCUGAGGCAGGAAAAUUGCCUGAACCCGGGAGCCGAGGUUGCAGUGAGCCGAGAUCCGCCACUGCACUUCAGCCUGGGGGAAAGAGCGAAACUCCGUUUCAAAAUAAUAAAAAGUGAAAAAAAGGAGCGUGGGUCCCAGUGUGAGUCUGGGCACCGUGGGCAGGGGUCUCGGCGGGCGGGGGUCUCACUGGCCUGUUCCCUGCAGGCGCUGCGGUCCAGGAGGCCCCAUGGAGGUGGCGGUGCCCGUGAAGCAGGAGGCUGAGGGCCUGGCGCUGGACUCCCCGUGGCACCGCUUCCGCCGCUUCCACCUGGGCGGCCGGGCCCUUGAGGCCCUGGGGCUGCUCCAGCGCCCUGUGCCGGGACUGGCUGCGGCCCGAGGUGCACACCAAGGAGCAGAUGCUGGAGCUGCUGGUGCUGGAGCAGUUCCUGAGCUGCCCGCCGACACGCAGGCCUGGGUGUGCAGCCGGCAGCCGCAGAGCGGCGAGAGGCGGUGGCCCUGCUGGAGGAGCUCUGGGUGAGCCUGGCGGGGCUGCAAGCGGGGAAGGGAGCGGGGAGGGCAGCCGGGAAGCCACCAGGAAGCCCACGGAGGAGCACCGCUGAACCCCUGACAACCAGUGUGCCUCACGGUGGGGAGGCUGCGGCACAGCGUGGAGGGCCAGUCCACGUGGGGCGCCUCCGUCCCAACACCAGCUGCAAGUCAGGAGGGCCCCAGGACCCUGGCAUACUUGCGAGUUCUCUAGAAGGACUCACAGCCGUGUUCACGGUCACGGCUUAUCACGGAGAAGGACGCGCUGGAAGCAGCUGGGAAGAGGGCCAGGAAGGCUCCAGGGAGCGCAGUCACCAGCUGCCCUCUCCCCGCACUCCGCCCGCACGCAGGGAGCGUUGCCAGCCAGGGACGCUCCUCAAACCCUGGUGUCCCGGGUUCUCACUGGGGACUUCUCCCUGCUCUGUUGGCUGACCUCAGCCUCCAGCCCCCUGAAAGUCAAGGAUACCCCGGCCCAAACUCCCCCUCAAAUCCAUCUUGCUGUUGGGCUGGCCUGAGGCCCCCGGCAGGCAGACCUUCCUCAUGCGGGACGUUCCAAGGGCUGGGAGAUGACUUCCCGGGGUGGAGGGCAAAGCCAGGCCUCUCUCUGGGCAGGUUUGGUUGCUUGACCACACAGCAGGCAAGGGCCGACUCACGUUCUGGGUGAAGGCUUGGUGCACAGCCACACCCAUCCACUCACGUCACCUGGGGCCGACGCUGGCCACCGUGAGGUGCACAGCCACACCCAUCCACUCACGUCACCUGGGGCUGACGCUGGCCACCGUGAGGUGCACAGCCACACCCAUCCACUCACGUCACCUAGGGCCGACGCUGGCCACCAUGAGGACCACAGAGGGCCCGAGGAGCUGGAAACGUUGACUGCCUGGCCCCGUUGGGGAAGCUGCCAGCCUGGCUUAGAGUCCUGUCCCCGGGGGGAUGUGUUAUGUGAGCCGCAGAUGCCAUCUUAAGUGUUCUAGUCACCACAUUUAAAAAAGGUGAAUUUACUUCAUGGACCCCAAUGUAUUCCAAAUACCGUCCUUUCAGUGGUGGCACUCUCCCUUGGCUGGUGGCUGCUGUGUGGGGCCUUGGUGACAGCGGCAGGCAGCCGCGCACAGACCUCUCAGAAGAGUGGUCCAGGCCGCGGGAGCAGCCAGUGCAACGGCCCUGAGUGAGGGGGUGUUUGCGCGAGGCCUGAGUCCCCAGUGGCAGGAGGGUGAAGAGUCAGAGUGGCCGGGUGUUCCUCAUAAGUGCGUGCUGAGUGCCUGCUGGGUGCUGGGAUGUAGCAGCA